CAACCCUCAAGCCCCCGGGCUUGGUGUUGGGGACCUGCGGCUGCCCGCAGGCCCUGAAAACCAGUGGCGGGCUCGCUGUCACCCCGAGCGUAGUAGCAAUCACCUCGCUCAGGGCGUGCCGCGGGCACCGGCCGUUAAAGCUGCCUUCGCGCAACACCCAA
rnacentral:misc_RNA from 1 species